CAGUUCGUGAAAAGGUUAGUGUUUUUUAAUAGAUGCAUUAUUUUGACGUUAGCGACAGAAGAAGCACCGGCUAACUCCGUGCCCAGCAGCCGCGGUAAUACGGAGGGUGCGAGCGUUAAUCGGAAUUACUGGGCGUAAAAGCGCAUGCAGGUGGUGUGUUAAGUCAGAUGUGAAAGCCCGGGGCUCAACCUCGGAAUUGCAUUUGAAACUGGCAGACUAGAGUACUGUAGAGGGGGGUAGAAUUUCAGGUGUAGCGGUGAAAUGCGUAGAGAUCUGAAGGAAUACCGGUGGCGAAGGCGGCCCCCUGGACAGAUACUGACACUCAGAUGCGAAAGCGUGGGGAGCAAACAGGAUUAGAUACCCUGGUAGUCCACGCCGUAAACGAUGUCUACUUGGAGGUUGUGGCCUUGAGCCGUGGCUUUCGGAGCUAACGCGUUAAGUAGACCGCCUGGGGAGUACGGUCGCAAGAUUAAAACUCAAAUGAAUUGACGGGGGCCCGCACAAGCGGUGGAGCAUGUGGUUUAAUUCGAUGCAACGCGAAGAACCUUACCUACUCUUGACAUCCAGAGAACUUUCCAGAGAUGGAUUGGUGCCUUCGGGAACUCUGAGACAGGUGCUGCAUGGCUGUCGUCAGCUCGUGUUGUGAAAUGUUGGGUUAAGUCCCGCAACGAGCGCAACCCUUAUCCUUGUUUGCCAGCACGUAAUGGUGGGAACUCCAGGGAGACUGCCGGUGAUAAACCGGAGGAAGGUGGGGACGACGUCAAGUCAUCAUGGCCCUUACGAGUAGGGCUACACACGUGCUACAAUGGCGCAUACAGAGGGCGGCCAACUUGCGAAAGUGAGCGAAUCCCAAAAAGUGCGUCGUAGUCCGGAUUGGAGUCUGCAACUCGACUCCAUGAAGUCGGAAUCGCUAGUAAUCGUGGAUCAGAAUGCCACGGUGAAUACGUUCCCGGGCCUUGUACACACCGCCCGUCACACCAUGGGAGUGGGCUGCAAAAGAAGUGGGUAGUUAACCUCGGAGACGUCACCCCUU
rnacentral:rRNA from 1 species